rnacentral:rRNA from 1 species
AGGGAAUCUUCCGCAAUGGACGAAAGUCUGACGGAGCAACGCCGCGUGAGUGAAGAAGGCCUUCGGGUCGUAAAACUCUGUUGCCGGGGAAGAACGUCUUCUGGAGUAACUGCCAGGAGAGUGACGGUACCUGAGGAGAAAGCCCCGGCUAACUACGUGCCAGCAGCCGCGGUAAUACGUAGGGGGCAAGCGUUGUCCGGAAUUAUUGGGCGUAAAGCGCGCGCAGGCGGCUGUUUAAGUCUGGUGUUUAAUCCUGGGGCUCAACCCCGGGUCGCACUGGAAACUGGACGGCUUGAGUGCAGAAGAGGAGAGUGGAAUUCCACGUGUAGCGGUGAAAUGCGUAGAGAUGUGGAGGAACACCAGUGGCGAAGGCGACUCUCUGGGCUGUAACUGACGCUGAGGCGCGAAAGCGUGGGGAGCAAAC